rnacentral:rRNA from 1 species
UGCGUAGGGGGCAAGCGUUGUCCGGAAUUAUUGGGCGUAAAGAGCGCGUAGGCGGUCCGAUAAGUCGGCUGUGAAAGUCCAGGGCUCAACCCUGGAAAGCCGGCCGAUACUGUCGGACUAGAGUCCGGAAGAGGCAAGUGGAAUUCCCGGUGUAGCGGUGAAAUGCGCAGAUAUCGGGAGGAACACCAAUUGCGAAGGCAGCUUGCUGGGACGGUACUGACGCUGAGGCGCGAAAGCGUGGGGAGCAAACAGG